UACGUAGGGGGCAAGCGUUGUCCGGAAUCAUUGGGCGUAAAGAGCGUGUGGGCGGCCCGAUAAGUCCGCUGUGAAAGUCCAGGGCUCAACCCUGGAAUGCCGGUGGAUACUGUCGGGCUCGAAUCCGGAAGAGGUGAGUGGAAUUCCUGGUGUAGCGGUGAAAUGCGCAGAUAUCAGGAGGAACACCAAUGGCGAAGGCAGCUCACUGGGACGGUAUUGACGCUGAGGUGCGAAAGCGUGGGGAGCAAACAGG
rnacentral:rRNA from 1 species